rnacentral:rRNA from 1 species
CAGUAGCCGCGGUAAUGCGUAGGGUGCAAGCGUUAAUCGGAAUUACUGGGCGUAAAGCGUGCGCAGGCGGUCCGCUAAGACAGAUGUGAAAUCCCCGGGCUUAACCUGGGAACUGCAUUUGUGACUGGCGGGCUAGAGUAUGGCAGAGGGGGGUAGAAUUCCACGUGUAGCAGUGAAAUGCGUAGGGAUGUGGAGGAAUACCGAUGGCGAAGGCAGCCCCCUGGGCCAAUACUGACGCUCAUGCACGAAAGCGUGGGGAGCAAACAGGAUUAGAUACCCGCGUAGUCCCUGUCUCUUAUAC